rnacentral:rRNA from 1 species
AUUGAACGCUGGCGGCAUGCCUUACACAUGCAAGUCGAACAGCAGCACGGGAGCAAUCCUGGUGGCGGGUGGCGAACGGGUGAGUAAAGUAUCGGAACGUGCCCAGUCGUGGGGGAUAACGUAGCGAAAGUUACGCUAAUACCGCAUACGAUCUAUGGAUGAAAGCGGGGGAUCGCAAGACCUCGCGCGAUUGGAGCGGCCGAUAUCAGAUUAGGUAGUUGGUGGGGUAAAGGCCCACCAAGCCGACGAUCUGUCGCUGGUUUGAGAGGACGACCAGCCACACUGGGACUGAGACACGGCCCAGACUCCUACGGGAGGCAGCAGUGGGGAAUUUUGGACAAUGGGCGAAAGCCUGAUCCAGCCAUGCCGCGUGCAGGAUGAAGGCCUUCGGGUUGUAAACUGCUUUUGUACGGAACGAAAAGGUUUGGCCUAAUAAGCUGAGCUCAUGACGGUACCGUAAGAAUAAGCACCGGCUAACUACGUGCCAGCCGCCGCAGUAA